rnacentral:rRNA from 1 species
UGAGACACUUAUUUGACAUCUGACCUCAAAUCAGGCGGGACUACCCGCUGAACUUAAGCAUAUCAAUAAGCGGAGGA